rnacentral:rRNA from 1 species
CUUGGCGACUAUAGCAGAGGGGAAACACCCGUUCCCAUUCCGAACACGGUCGUUAAGCCCUCUAGCGCCGAUGAUACUGAUACUUUCGGGAAAGUAGGUCAUUGCCAAGA